rnacentral:tRNA from 1 species
GGCUCCGUAGCUUGGAGGAAAGAAGCGCCCGUCUAGCGAAUUGGGAGUCGUGGGUACAACUCCCACCGGAGCAC